AAAGAAUAUAGCCAAUGAUGAAUGUUGGAUCGUACUACUUCUUAAAAUUGUGAGAUAUGAAUAUUUAAGGUACAACAAUAAUAUCAAUGUUUGAAAGUGUUUUCUUCAAGUUGAAUGCAAAAUAAACUGUGACUCUCAAAAUUAGGGAUGAUAAUUUGAUCCAUCCAUUCGAUACAUCUAUUGCUUAAUUCAUCGAAUGCAUUUAUCAAACAAAAAACUUAUUAAUUGGAUUCAAUCUAUCCAAUUGAAAAUCUAUAUGAACACCUUAUUUUAAAGAUUCAAUAGAUAAUCAGAAAUGAUAAUACACAUUCAUUUGAUAAAUAUAAACAAUGUAUUUAUAAAAUUAAUUUAAUAGCUAAAAAACAUAAGGUAAAAAAAC
rnacentral:lncRNA from 1 species